rnacentral:tRNA from 1 species
UCGGCCGUGGUGUAAUUGGCAACACGUCGCCCUUUGGAGGCGAUUUUCUAGGUUCGAGUCCUAGCGGCCGAGC